rnacentral:rRNA from 1 species
UGGGGAAUAUUGGACAAUGGGCGAAAGCCUGAUCCAGCCAUGCCGCGUGUGUGAAGAAGGUCUUCGGAUUGUAAAGCACUUUAAGUUGGGAGGAAGGGCAGUUACCUAAUACGUGAUUGUUUUGACGUUACCGACAGAAUAAGCACCGGCUAACUCUGUGCCAGCAGCCGCGGUAAUACAGAGGGUGCAAGCGUUAAUCGGAAUUACUGGGCGUAAAGCGCGCGUAGGUGAUUUGUUAAGUUGGAUGUGAAAUCCCCGGGCUCAACCUGGGAACUGCAUUCAAAACUGACUGACUAGAGUAUGGUAGAGGGUGGUGGAAUUUCCUGUGUAGCGGUGAAAUGCGUAGAUAUAGGAAGGAACACCAGUGGCGAAGGCGACCACCUGGACUAAUACUGACACUGAGGUGCGAAAGCGUGGGGAGCAAACA